ACUCCAGGGGUGAUUUUGAUAUCUUCCUGUCCUUUUUCCUCCAGCUAAGCACUCUUCUCUUCAGGCUUCUGGGAGACAUAGGAUGCAGUGGGAACCUAAACCUUCGGAAACCUCCCAAAUGUUUAGAAUAAUAUUGUUAUAUACCAGAGAAGGCAAUGGCACCCCUCUCCAGUACUCUUGCCUGGAAAAUCCCAUGGACGGAGGAACCUGGUGGGCUGCAGUCCAUGGAGUCGUGAAGAGUUGGACACAGCUGAGCGACUUCACUUUCACUUUUCAGUUCCAUGCAUUGGAGAAGGAAAUGGCAACCCACUCCAGUGUUCUUGCCUGGAGAAUCCCAGGGACGGGGAGCCUGGUGGGCUGCCGUCUAUGGGGUCGCACAGAGUCAGACACGACUGAAGCGACUUAAGAAUUGUGUGUUAAUGAAAGUUAUAGUAAGCUAAUUGUCAACGAUAAUUUUUAUCAUGUCUGUUCUAUGAAUAUUUUAUUUAAUAAUUUGAGUAUCAACAGACGAGAAAAAUAUCAAAGCAAUUGUUAUGUAAUAAUUUAUCAAAAACCUACUAUGUGUUUAAGCACAAUGAUAGGGCCUAGAAAGAGUACCAAGACUAGGAUAGCAAUGAUCUUUGUUCAAACGAAUUUGUACCUGUUCCAAUUAAUUCAUCAUAAUUUAUACACAAAUUAUUUUUCAGAGCUUUCAUAGACAUCUAUUUUAGCCUUGUUAAAAUAUUUUUUAUUAUGAUGAAUUCCAUAUAUAUACAAGAGUAGUGAAAGUAUUCAGAUGGACUCUAUAGACUUGUUUACGUUCCUCUAAAAUACAUAAGCUGAUGGUUUAAUUUGCUUUGAAAAAAUUUUAUUUGAUUUUUUUCCCCAGGAUAAUUCAUAGGAAGUAUGUCAUUCUAUCAGGUUAUCUCUCCUUCUCUUAAGGUAGCUACCAUGAUGAUAUUGCCUGAAUUCAUCAUUUCAUGAAAGUUUUGCCAAAUAAUGAUAGUCCAGUUCUAUAAUUCUUCCUUCCUUGAUAAGAUCAAAUACGCUGUAGAGAAAUUUCUCUCAUCACUUAUUUGGUUACCCUGAGAUACAAUUAGUUCAUAAACAAAAAGUCAGAUAUUUGUCUCUUUCCCUUUACAGUUUGUAAAAUAUUUUGUAACAGAGUGCAGUGAUCACAGGCCUUAGCACUGUAGCCAUGCUGUGUGGUCAUUACUCCGGCAUCCCUGUUACCAGGCAUAGGUCCUGUUCAGCCAUUGGUUCAUGCCUCAGUGGGCCCCGCCCACAAGCAACUGUCCGUGAGCAACCGUUAGUGGUCCUGCCCAGUCAUUGGUCAGUGCCGUAGCGGGCCCUGCCCACUAGCAACCAACCGUCAAGAAACGAUGGUUAGUGAGGAGAUUCAGACAACAGUGGAGCAGUGGUUGUGAGGUGAAGAGUGAGGUAAGAGGUAGUUCUCGGCCUCCAUCAGGCCCUCCAGUUCAUCCAGCCUUGAACCCGUGGGUGAGCUGGGGGACCUAGAGAAUAGGCUGAGGGCUGUGUCCUGCAGGGCUCCAGAGCCCUCACCAAGGGUUGUCCAGGCCUCGAGGUGGCCGUGAUCCCUGUCUCUGUAACCUAAUAGUAGAAGUCUGCCUGGGUCGCCUUCUGUGGGACCUGGUCUCCCCACACUUUGGGCGGCCUGAGGAGCCUGAGGGGCCAGUUGGGUCCUGGAUGCCUGGCUCCUUCAGAGAUGACGGCUGGGCAGGGUCUGGUGACCUAGCCCUGAGGGAGCCGCCAGCCAAGCUCUGCUUUCUGUUAGCCAGGAUGGGGACCUCGGAGGAUGAUACUUUGUCUUGGGACCCCGUCCUUUCUUGUCAGGAUGGAGAAUAACAUUCAUAGGUGGAGAUUACAGGAAUAUUGUUGCCUGACCGUGACCUGACUUCCAGAACAAAGACUCUUGACACCAAGAGAUUUUCAACAGCUCAGCACGCCCCCCUUCCCCCCCCCCCCCACCUUUCCUAGAAAAGGGCUUUGCUGAGAGCUUUCAGAGUCAGACGGGACUGAAGCAACUUAGCAGCAGCAGCAGCAACAGGGCACAAAUCAUCCAUCUCCUGGCACAACCCUGUAAUAAAUCAUUAUUUGUUCCAAACUCCACUGUUUAAGUGUUUUUUAGCCUCA
ensembl:lincRNA